rnacentral:rRNA from 1 species
AAUCCAUAGGUUAAUGAGGCGAACCGGGGGAACUGAAACAUCUAAGUACCCCGAGGAAAAGAAAUCAACCGAGAUUCCCCCAGUAGCGGCGAGCGAACGGGGAGGAGCCCAGAGCCUGAAUCAGCAUGUGUGUUAGUGGAAGCGUCUGGAAAGGCGCGCGAUACAGGGUGACAGCCCCGUACACAAAAGCGCAUGUGCUGUGAGCUCGAUGAGUAGGGCGGGACACGUGGUAUCCUGUCUGAAUAUGGGGGGACCAUCCUCCAAGGCUAAAUACUCCUGACUGACCGAUAGUGAACCAGUACCGUGAGGGAAAGGCGAAAAGAACCCCGGCGAGGGGAGUGAAAAAGAACCUGAAACCGUGUACGUACAAGCAGUGGGAGCCCCACCACCAAAGCAUUCUCUGGUGUUGAAGGCCCUGCAAAGCAGCAUCGCGGUGGCGGAGCGUCGUUUGCGACGCCCAACACACAAAACAAGCGGUGAGUGCUUUGGGGUGGGGUGACUGCGUACCUUUUGUAUAAUGGGUCAGCGACUUAUAUUCUGUAGCAAGGUUAACCGAAUAGGGGAGCCGGAGGGAAACCGAGUCUUAAUUGGGCGUUAAGUUGCAGGGUAUAGACCCGAAACCCGGUGAUCUAGCCAUGGGCAGGUUGAAGGUUGGGUAACACUAACUGGAGGACCGAACCGACUAAUGUUGAAAAAUUAGCGGAUGACCUGUGGCUGGGGGUGAAAGGCCAAUCAAACCGGGAGAUAGCUGGUUCUCCCCGAAAGCUAUUUAGGUAGCGCCUCGUGAAUUCAUCUCCGGGGGUAGAGCACUGUUUCGGCUAGGGGGCCAUCCCGGCUUACCAACCCGAUGCAAACUGCGAAUACCGGAGAAUGUUAUCACGGGAGACACACGGCGGGUGCUAACGUCCGUCGUGAAGAGGGAAACAACCCAGACCGCCAGCUAAGGUCCCAAAGUCAUGGUUAAGUGGGAAACGAUGUGGGAAGGCCCAGACAGCCAGGAUGUUGGCUUAGAAGCAGCCAUCAUUUAAAGAAAGCGUAAUAGCUCACUGGUCGAGUCGGCCUGCGCGGAAGAUGUAACGGGGCUAAACCAUGCACCGAAGCUGCGGCAGCGACACUGUGUGUUGUUGGGUAGGGGAGCGUUCUGUAAGCCUGUGAAGGUGGCCUGUGAGGGUUGCUGGAGGUAUCAGAAGUGCGAAUGCUGACAUAAGUAACGAUAAAGCGGGUGAAAAGCCCGCUCGCCGGAAGACCAAGGGUUCCUGUCCAACGUUAAUCGGGGCAGGGUGAGUCGACCCCUAAGGCGAGGCCGAAAGGCGUAGUCGAUGGGAAACGGGUUAAUAUUCCCGUACUUGGUGUUACUGCGAAGGGGGGACGGAGAAGGCUAUGUUGGCCGGGCGACGGUUGUCCCGGUUUAAGCGUGUAGGUGUGUGUUCCAGGUAAAUCCGGUUCACUUUAACACUGAGGCGUGACGACGAGGCACUACGGUGCUGAAGCAACAAAUGCCCUGCUUCCAGGAAAAGCCUCUAAGCAUCAGGUAACAUCAAAUCGUACCCCAAACCGACACAGGUGGUCAGGUAGAGAAUACCAAGGCGCUUGAGAGAACUCGGGUGAAGGAACUAGGCAAAAUGGUGCCGUAACUUCGGGAGAAGGCACGCUGACACGUAGGUGAAGUGAUUUACUCAUGGAGCUGAAGUCAGUCGAAGAUACCAGCUGGCUGCAACUGUUUAUUAAAAACACAGCACUGUGCAAACACGAAAGUGGACGUAUACGGUGUGACGCCUGCCCGGUGCCGGAAGGUUAAUUGAUGGGGUCAGCGCAAGCGAAGCUCCUGAUCGAAGCCCCGGUAAACGGCGGCCGUAACUAUAACGGUCCUAAGGUAGCGAAAUUCCUUGUCGGGUAAGUUCCGACCUGCACGAAUGGCGUAAUGAUGGCCAGGCUGUCUCCACCCGAGACUCAGUGAAAUUGAACUCGCUGUGAAGAUGCAGUGUACCCGCGGCAAGACGGAAAGACCCCGUGAACCUUUACUAUAGCUUGACACUGAACAUUGAGCCUUGAUGUGUAGGAUAGGUGGGAGGCUUUGAAGUGUGGACGCCAGUCUGCAUGGAGCCGACCUUGAAAUACCACCCUUUAAUGUUUGAUGUUCUAACGUGGACCCGUAAUCCGGGUUGCGGACAGUGUCUGGUGGGUAGUUUGACUGGGGCGGUCUCCUCCUAAAGAGUAACGGAGGAGCACGAAGGUUGGCUAAUCCUGGUCGGACAUCAGGAGGUUAGUGCAAUGGCAUAAGCCAGCUUGACUGCGAGCGUGACGGCGCGAGCAGGUGCGAAAGCAGGUCAUAGUGAUCCGGUGGUUCUGAAUGGAAGGGCCAUCGCUCAACGGAUAAAAGGUACUCCGGGGAUAACAGGCUGAUACCGCCCAAGAGUUCAUAUCGACGGCGGUGUUUGGCACCUCGAUGUCGGCUCAUCACAUCCUGGGGCUGAAGUAGGUCCCAAGGGUAUGGCUGUUCGCCAUUUAAAGUGGUACGCGAGCUGGGUUUAGAACGUCGUGAGACAGUUCGGUCCCUAUCUGCCGUGGGCGCUGGAGAACUGAGGGGGGCUGCUCCUAGUACGAGAGGACCGGAGUGGACGCAUCACUGGUGUUCGGGUUGUCAUGCCAAUGGCACUGCCCGGUAGCUAAAUGCGGAAGAGAUAAGUGCUGAAAGCAUCUAAGCACGAAACUUGCCCCGA